rnacentral:rRNA from 1 species
AGCAGUCGCCGCGGGAAUACGUAGGGUGCAAGCGUUAAUCGGAAUUACUGGGCGUAAAGCGUGCGCAGGCGGUUCGCUAAGACAGAUGUGAAAUCCCCGGGCUUAACCUGGGAACUGCGUUUGUGACUGGCGGGCUAGAGUAUGGCAGAGGGGGGUAGAAUUCCACGUGUAGCAGUGAAAUGCGUAGAGAUGUGGAGGAAUACCGAUGGCGAAGGCAGCCCCCUGGGCCAAUACUGACGCUCAUGCACGAAAGCGUGGGGAGCAAACAGGAUUAGAUACCCCCGUAGUCCCUGUCUCUUAUAC